AUCAACUGGAAAUAAUGGUUGGUGUAGAAUUCUCCUAUGAACGUCAUGUAUACCACUGUUUUGGAUGACAGCUAUCCCUCUUGAAAGGUCUAUAACAGAAAACAGAAGAAAAAUGUGUAGAAGCUGAAGAAGAGCUUUCAUGGUAAGAGGAAGCCUCCAAUGGCAGCAAGAUAUGGAUUCUCUGCUGAUUCAGCAAUAGCAGCAUUUAUUGCAGAAGGAAUCAAAAUGAUGAUAAUCAAGUUGUCUUGAUUCUCUUGAAUUAAUCACCUUACAGCAGGAAAAAAAUAAUUAAGGAAAAAUGUUUUUUUUUUUUGUUGUGUUGUGGCUGACUUGAGCAAUGACCAAAUAAUACUUUCUGAAAUCUUAAGAUUCUCCUUUAGUUUAGAAACGUAAGUAGUGUUUAACGUUCCUCAUGCCGAUUUUGUUUGUUGUUGGCCGUGAAUUUCCCCUGGAUUAGAGAAGUUUAGGAAAAUGAGAACCAGCCCAGUUGGAUGCAAUAGAAUCAAAUUUUGGU